rnacentral:tRNA from 1 species
GGGCCUGUAGCUUAAUGGUAGAGCACCCGCCUUGCACGCGGGAGACCGGAGUUCGACUCUCCGUAGGUCCA